CACAAGUAAACUUCAAUCUUCAAGCGUUUCCUCCAUCUUUCUUGCCUUUGCGUGGGGAAAAAGGUAGCUUCUCUUGUUCCCUUUGAGCUCCAGAUGGGUUUGUUGGAAUGUUUGGGUUAACCAUUUUGAAAGGUGGGUACUUGGGGAAAGGCCAGCCCUUUAAUGGAAACUUGUGGCGGAAGAAUCCAGCAAUCAUGGAUUUUGCAUGGUCGAUAUUUCCCACUGAAGACGAAUCAUCCGUUAUGGUUUGAGGUGAUGUUCGUUCUGAUUGCGGAUUUGAGACAGGAAGUGAGAAUGCAGGUUGAGAACUGAGGAAGAAUGUUUGAUCGGAAAACGGUAAUAAAUAAGAUAUGGGUUUAAACAAAUACGUCUUAUUAAUGGUCGGAGAAAAACGUUCAGUCGGUUACAAGAGAAACGAAGAGAGUGCGACAGAAAGGAAGCCGGUGGCUCGAUGAGCUACUGGAAAAGUACAACUAACGGCGAGAUGAAGCAAAGGUGAAAACCCUAAUCUAGCCGCCAAGUGUUAGUUAGUGAUUUCGGAUCCUUCUCUCUUUGUCUCCCCUUUCCCUUAUAUAGACGUCCUAAUGCCUCGUCCUUGACCUAAUUUAUGCCAUCUUGGUGGGCCUCCUCUGCUGGGCCGAGAAGCCCGUAGGCGUCCGAGCAGCCGCUGAGCCGAAUGUACUUCAGUCGAUGAUGAUUGACUAAAAGUACUCAAGAGUCAAGCCGAGAGACCUGACUCUUGAGCCGACCGAUCGAGCCGUCGCUCUACCUAAUCCGGGCCAGGCCUUUCUAUUCCUCGGGCCUUGUAGGAUGGUCAGAUCCAUCCUCUACAGUAAGCCCCCCCCCCCAGUCCAUUAGUGAGCAAAGUGCUUUCUGGCUCGUGAUGGAUUCUAAGGUUUGAAGGUUUGAGGGAAUAGAAGGCCUGUCGGAAGGUUGGAGCGGUUGGUCGAUGAGUCGCACAGCGUCGUUCUUUUGGAAGCGAGCAGUAGAGGCUUUAUCGCUCCUUUUGAUCGUUGUGUCGCAGGGAGGGUUCUGGAAUAUUUCCGCUUGAGGCUGAUUAGUCGCGGAUAUUCAGAUCCCGACUGACAUAUCUAGAUUAACCGUUGGUUUAUUCUGAUUUUAAAAUGACCGACGUCCGAUUUAGACGAGAAGCCGAACCGUCGCGAGGGUCCGCUGGAUAUUUGAGAGAGUUUCGAGGCCCAUUUAGGCCCGUUUAGGCUUAAUGACGACACCUCGAAUUCCCCCCCCCUUUUUCUCUUUUAAAUGCACCGAGAAGUCGAAACAUCGCGAGGGUCCGCUGGGUUUUUAGGAAGAGUUUUGAGGCCCAUCUAGGCCCGAAUAGACCUAAUGAUGAUGCCUCGAGUCCCUCCCUCUCUUUUCCUUAUAAAUACGCAGAUCCUCUCUCAUUUCUUCAAGUUUCCUCCGCGAUCAAAGGUACUCUCUCUCUCUCCUUCUUUUACUUCUCUAGGUGUUAUAGCCUUCAUUCAACGCAUUCUUCGCCGCCUUGUUCUACCAUGUCGUCGGCUCAGGGGUUAUCGAGACAGCAAAAGGGGAAAUCAGUUGCGGCGGCAUCGGCUCCGGCAAGGGGUCCUGACGGAGGUUGUAUCGGGGAUCUCGAGUCGACUCAUCACGAGGCGAUGAUGGACACAGUCGAUUUGUCUCGCUCCCAGAGGCUUCUGGUCGCAGAUGCUACACGGCUUGCGAGGGAAGGGAGCGAGUACGUCGCCGUGAGAGAUGCGACGGAGUGUGCGAGAGACGGACAGAGCGGGGCGGUGCCUGUUGACUCGAUUACCUUGAGGGCUCGCGCAGUGGAAGACGAUCCUUUGGAAGACGACGAUUCUGAAGCCGAGUUGUUUCCGACGACCUUCAAUCCCGAAGGGAUUUUCGAGGAGCUUCCACGACUACAUCCUGACUUAUUGCGCCCUGCUUUCGUGGCUGGUCAAGAUUGGGACGGUGUGGAGGAGACUAAGUCGACCCUGAGGAGCGUGAAGAGGGUUCUUCGGGCCAAGAACGCUACAGGCGUGACCUUCCUCAUUCCUACGCCGGAGCAAAGGCCUUGGUCUCCUCCGAUCGGGUACCAAACAGUAUACGAGUCUUAUUUCCAGGAUGACACUCGCUGUUGGUUCCUCAUCCCGCGACUGAUCACCGCGUACGCUAGGCGGCGGGAUCUCGCGAUUAGUCAGUUACUGAACGGCUCGCUGCGACUAGCCGUCGCUGUUCUAGCGGAGGAGAUUGACAUGCCGAUGAGCGUCAGGUCGUUCGAGGAGAUGACCUCGAUAAACGAUAUGAAGGACGGAACCUACUCGGUGAGGAUGCGACCAAACUGCAAUGUGUGUGCCGGUCAUCCAAACAAAACGCAGAAUUGGCAGCGUUCCUACUUCUUCAUCAAGUCCGACGACUCGGCUUUCGAGGAGCCUCCUCGAGAGGACUAUCGGGUCCUAUGGAACCGUUCUUGUGGUAGAAUAUCUUGUCGCGAGCUACGUCUGAUUUUGUUGACCUUAACGGAACUUUCUUUUUGUUGUGCUCGCAGUUGGCCAUCCUACGUCUCCAGUCUAUCCUGAGGAUUUCCUGAAGAGCGUUCGAGCCGUCGCUUUGCUUAGGAUCUACCGUUGGUCUGAGAUUACCUUUGAGAAGAUUCGCGAGCUUCAGGACCGGAUCGCUCGAAGUGCGUUCUCUCGCCGUUUCUGGUUAUUUUUCGAUCGCAAAGUUUAUUUGUCGCGUCCUGACCAUUUUUUUUUUUGCCUUAUGUUUUCAAGAGAGUGGAGAUCUGAUCUUCCGACCGUUCUUCCUAUUCGCACCAAGCGACUAGACAUCUUCCCGAAGGACAUCCAGAAGCAAGUUUCUGAAGCAAAGAGGAUGGCAACUCUUCCUGAUUUGAGGACGAUGUUAGCCGCCCAGCUGGGACUGGUCAGCGAGGAAGGACCCUCGACGACGGUUCUUCGCACUGGCGAGGUUCCCCCUUCUGGCGCUAGAAACACGGGGAAGGGUAAAAAAAGGAAGAGGGGCGGCUCGGGAGCCGAGGGGAGCGCCGAGGAGGCGAGCGACGUUCCUCCUUCUGGCGAACCCCAGAAGAAGAAGAAGAAGAAGAAGAAGAAGAAGAAGAAGAAGAAGAAGAAGAAGAAGAGGACAAAGAAGCCCGUUGACGAGCAGUCGGAGAAUCCCGAAGAACCGACUGAGAUUGAGGAGGGUGAUGUUCAAGAAGAAGAACUUCAACCCGAAGAGGAGGCUUCUGAGGCUGAAAUCUCGGGAGAACGGGACGAUGCGGCGGUAGUUGGUGAAGGGGAGGAAUCUAAAAUUCCUCUUAACGCCGCCCGUCCGGACGGUUCUGAAGAAGACAGCGGAGAAUCGCCGCUUUUGAUCAGGAGAUGUAACGACGAGGUUGGCGAUGAGGCGCGAUCUCCUAUUCUGGCGUCUUCUCGCGAGGGAACUCCGGUUCCCAUUGGGGAAGGGGUCGCUCAGAUCAGCACUUCUUCUCGCGGUUCUGCUAUCUUGAGGAGGGUGCCCGGAAUCAACUUUCCAGACAAGGUUUCGUUUCACUACGAGGGACCGGCCCCUCUAGUGUACGUUCCCGAGAAGUGUGGAGAGUUCCUUCGCCAAUUAAGGGGGAGGGCGAACCCUUUGCCCGCUGUGAAGGACCUCAUCUUUGGGGGUGAAUACGAGGAAGCCGCGAGGGCCAAGCUGCUGGUAAAUGGCUCGGUCCCUCUUUUUUUUUUUCGUUCUUUAACUUCUUCUUACAAUUUUCAUCUCCUCGUUUGUUUAGGGGGAUAGCGCGACGAACGUCGUGAUCGAUAAGUACGACACUGCCCUGAAGGGAGCUUUGGGUGAACUCGAGCUAGCUAAGAAGGAGCACGCGGAGAAAGAGGAAGCUUCUGCUCGCCAACUGAAUGCAUCGAGGGAUGACGUCGAGAGGCUUAACGGGAUGGUUGCUCGCAUCAUUGCUCGAAGAGACGAGCUCAAAGCCGAGUUGGAGGUAUCCCGAGGAGUCGUUCGUGAGCUCGAGCGGAAGAACGCUGAACUUGAGAGCGAGAAGGUUUCGCUCGCUGCGUCUCAUGAAAGAGAGAUGAGGCGCCUCAGAGAUUCCAGGAUCCUGGAAGUGACGAGGGAAANNNNNNNNNNNNNNNNNNNNNNNNNNNNNNNNNNNNNNNNNNNNNNNNNNNNNNNNNNNNNNNNNNGGGAAAGAGGAAGAGUUGAGACCGAGAUGGCCGCGAAAGCUAAUCGUCACUUCGCUAGGGUUCGCUCCCGAGAAGAGCGACGAGGUCCCUAUGAGGAGGCCCGGUUGCUUCAUAGCCAAGCCUUCGGAACCAGGAAAUGCCUUGAGGCUUUGAAGAGGGCUGGGAGCGACAUCUCGCAAGCUACUAUCGAGCUGUUCGCCGAGCAAGAGAAGAAAUAAGAGGAGGAAGCCGAGAAGCUUAGGGUGGGCGAGAUAUCCGAGGAAGAUUUCGCACUUUAUCCUCUCGUAUUGGACUCUCAGUUUGUGGAUGCUCGAAUCUUGGCGAGUCUCGAUCCGUAUGGGUCCAACGCCGGCUUGAUCGAUCCGGAGAUUGCAGCGAGCCUCCACGUUCCGCCUACUCAUCCGGCUGAAGAGCGGCGCGAAGACCCGACGCCUCUUCUUGAAGGUCCUUUGGCUGAUCCAGAGAUCGUCCCGAGAUCAGGCGAAGUGCAUGUUUCUCCGGCUGCUCAUGAGUCAAGCGUCAGGGCUUCGGAGCUUUCCGUCCUCAACGAUCGCGAGAGUGAUCGGGAAGCUUAGUCUUUUUUGUUUGUUGUUUCUUUUGAGUCCCGGAGGACUUGUGUUGUUGCUUUUUAAACUUUUGCCUUUCAAGACUUCUACUUUGUUGUUUCUCUUUUGUUAUUUCCAAUUCUUCGAAUCGUAUUAACUGUUGGUCUUUUAUCGUACUUGUCUAUCAAAUGCAUGAUUUCUCAAGAUUCGAAGUGACUGUUUGUUUAGUAUAAACGUUAUUCGAGAUAUCGAAUCGGUGUAGUGUUUAAGCUCGUCAUGACUUUGUCUCGGUCGAUUUCUUUGACUCGCAAUCGUUCGUCAUUUGAGUUUCGUUGUUAAUUGUGAGUUCUCGACGUUGACGGUUCCAAAUCUACCCUAACGUAAUUUUCAAACGUUCGGUAGGUCAAACCUUACUUAGUAAAUUACAGGGUGAGUUGGAGUCAUUGUCUCGGCCGUGUUGGUUUAAAUCGCAACGCGGUCGACUCCCGUGAAUACGUGUCUGAUCAGGACACAUCCAACAUGUAAUGCGAGUACCGAUACGCUUGUUCGAGAAGCCGGGGCAUGCUCGUGUCGGCAUCGCUUAAGUGAUCGUCUGCUUCGGAGAUCGAUUCCUCGGGGAGGAGGUUUGUUUUUUUUUUUUUUCGGCUGGACCCCUUUUUCUUUUGGGCUGCCUACGUAUCCCUUUGUGGGAAUCAAGCCAUUCGUAGUUCUUAGAUUGCGAGUAAAAGUGGCUUUUGAGGCGCAUUUACUCGGGUUUUUUUGUAGCGAGAGAACGUGACCGUUGGUCGUUCUUUCGCCUUUUUUUUUUUUUUUUUUUUUUGUGUGAGACAGAAAUAAGAACUUUAAAUUAUUUUGAUUCAAGACCCCCCCUUUUUUUUUUUUUUUUUUUUUGAGCGAGAGGCGAGUAAAAGUGGCCUUAGUGGCGAAUUUACUCGGUAAGGCAUUCUUCUUGACUAAGGAUGGAAGAGGCGGAGAUGUUUGAAGUUCCAAGCUCUCGGUAUUGCUUCGCCUGUUGAAGUCUCGAGGCGGUAUACUCCUGGUUUGAUGACUUCGACUAUCUUGUAUGGUCCUUCCCAGUUGGCUCCAAGCUUGCCGGCUUUCCAUUCCUUAGUGUUCUCGAAGACCUUUCUUAAGACAAGAUUGCCCAUUUCGAGGGGACGCGAUUUGACCUUUUUGUUGUAGUACCUCUCGAUUUGAUGCUGGUAAUUCUGGAUACGGAGUAGUGCUUGUUCGCGCUUUUCCUCGAUGUCGUCGAGUGCGGCGAGCAGCAUGUCGCGGUUGAGUUCGACGUUUUGUGGCAUUCGCGAUCGGCGCAAGCUCGUCACAUUCACUUCUGCGGGGGCCAUUGCCUCGACGCCAUAGGCCAUCGAGAAAGGGGUAGCCUUCGUCGCUCCGCAAGGAGUUGUUCUGUGGGACCACAUGACACCGUCUAGUUCAUCUGCCCAGCAACCUUUCUUUAAGUCGAGUCGUUUUUUCAGACCGUCGAUGAUGGUCUUGUUCAUCGACUCGGCUUGGCCGUUACUUUGCGGGUUUCUCGGGGUCGACAUGUUGAGUCGAAUUCGCCAUCUGUCGCAGAAUCCCUUGAAAUGAUGCGAGAUGAAUUGUGAACCGUUGUCUGUAAUGAUCUCGUAUGGGAGCCCAUGUCGGCAGAUUAUGUUCUUCCAGAAGAAGUUUUGUACCUCCUUGUCGGUGAUGCUGGCGUAGGCUUCGGGUUCAACCCAUUUGGUGAAGUAAUCUGUGAGGACCAGGAUGAACUUCUUUUGGCGAGAUGCCGGCAUCGGACCUAUGAUGUCCAUUCCCCAUCGCAUGAAUGGGUAUGGAACAGUUAGGGUAUGAAGGAACUCCGUUGGGCUGUGUAAGGUGGAAGCGUGACGCUGGCAUUUGUCGCACUUGCGCACGUAUGUCUCGCAGUCGGCGUUCAUGGUUGGCCAGUAGAAUCCGAGAUUCUUUACUUUUAAUGCGAGAGCUCGUCCGCCCGAGUGAUUGCCUACUGCUCCUUCAUGUGUUUCGGCCAUGACUAGUCUCGUUUCUUCGCCGGAGAUACAUUUGAGUAGCACCUUCGUCGCGGUCCAUCGGUGUAGUUCCCCGUCCAUGACAACGUAGUGUGCGCUACGUCGCUUCAGUCGCCGCGCGUCCCAUUUUUCGGUGUGCAAUAAACCUUCAGCGAGGUAAUCGAUGAGUUCUUUGCGCCAGUCUGUUGGCUGAUCAUCCUGCGAAGGAGGUUCUGCUUCGUCGAUGUCCAUCGCUUCGCUAAUCGCUGCUGCGAUCGCAGUCUGUUCCGCCUUUGUAUCGAUGCUCGGUUUCUCGAUUUUAUGGAUUGGGAUUGUCCUCUUGACUUGAUCGUGUAGCUUGCUUCCUAGAGCAGCGAGGGCGUCGGCACAAACAUUUUCUCGGCGAGGAACCUUCGUGAGUUCGAAGAACUCGAAGUCUCGUGUGAGGUCUUGGACGAGUUUGAGGUAGGCGUCCAUCCUUUCGUUGCGGACGUCGUAAUCGCCGAGAUACUGGCUUACGACAAGUUGAGAGUCGCAGUAAGCGCUGAUUCUUUUGGCCUUCACUGCCUUGGCGAGACGGAGCCCUACGAUGAGGGACUCGUACUCAGCUUCGUUGUUUGACGCCGCAAAACCAAAACUGAAUGACUGCCGGAUGAGUUCUCCUAUUGGUGAUUGCAGUUGCACUCCUGCCCCCGACCCUUUACUCGUAGAUGAACCGUCGACGUGUAAGAUCCAGUUUAAACUUGGUAGGAUGAGGUCUUGCUCCAGCUCUGGUGUUAACUCGAUCAAGAAGUCGGCAAGCACCUGUGACUUUGCUGCUGUACGAUUCUUGUACACGAUGUCAUGUUCGCUCAGCUCCAUCGCCCAUUUAGUCAACCGUCCUGACUGGUUAGUAUUCGGCAUAACCGUUCGGAGUGGUUUGUUGGACAGUACUUCAAUCGUGUGCGACUGAAAGUAGGGUCGCAGUUUCCUGGCCGAGGUGAUGAUAGCUAAGGCCAUCUUUUCGAGUGUUGGGUAUCUCGUCUCCGGGUCGGUCAUUCUUUUACUUGUGUAAAAGAUUGGUUUCUGUUCUCCCCGAUCUUCUCGAAUGAGCACGCUGCUGACGGCGGAGGAUGUGACGGCUAUGUAGAGAGACAAUGUGUCGCCGGCUUCUGGCUUUGAUAGUACUGGGGGGGUUGUGAGGUAGUUCUUGAGUUGAUUGAACUCCUCCUCGCACUUUUCGUCCCAGAAGAACCUCUUAUUGCCCCUUAGUAGCUCGUAGAAGGGAAGACACUUAUCGGUUGAUCGCGAGAUGAACCUGUUGAGAGCUGCUAUGCGUCCGGUUAGUCGUUGUACUUCGCGGCUGUUCUUUGGGCUUGGAAGGUCGAGGAUCGCCGAGAUCUGCUUGGGGUUAGCCUCGAUUCCUCGUUGAGUGACAAUGUAGCCGAGGAAUUCUCCCGAAGUGACACCAAAGGUACACUUGGUCGGGUUUAGCUUCAUCCCGUAGUCGUUCAAGAUCUUGAAGCAGUCGCGUAAGUUGCUUAGGUGAUCGUCGGCCUUGAGCGAUUUGACUAACAUGUCGUCGAUGUACACUUCCAUGGUGUUGCCAAGCUGAUCAGCAAACAUUCGGUUGACGAGUCGCUGAUAAGUCGUGCCGACGUUCUUUAGCCCGAAGGGCAUCACCUUGUAGCAGUAGGUCCCUCUGUCGGUGAUGAAUGCCGUCUUCUAGCGAUCGUCGGGAUGCAUCAAGAUCUGGUUGUAUCCCGAGAAAGCGUCCAUGAAGGUUCGGAGUUCGUUACCAGCAGUUGAUUCGACGAGACGAUCGAUAUGAGGGAGUGGGUAACUGUCCUUUGGGCACGCCUUGUUGAGGUCCGUGAAGUUGACGCAUAUGCGCCAUUUGCCGUUUUUCUUUUUGACGACAACCGGGUUAGCCAACCAUUCGGGGUAUCGGACUUCGGUUAUGAAACCCGCAUCGAGGAGCCUGUCGACUUCUUCGUUUACGACUUUAGAUCGUUCUGGACCGAGUUUUCGUCGCUUCUGUCGGAUGGGUUUGAACGUCGGGUCGACGUGCAGUUCAUGGGAGCUAACUGCGGGGUCGAUCCCCUUCAUGUCGGAACUCUUCCAGGCGAACGUCGAGGCGUUGUCUUUGAUGAAAGAGAUGAUCCUUGAACAUACGUCGUCGGACAGGUAGACGCCAACUCGGAUGAUUUUCGUCGGGUCAGAUUCAUCAAUUGCGACUUCGCGAACUUCCUCCUUCUGGGGGUAUAUCUUGUUGAGUGGUUUACUGACGGAGUUGACAAGGGAAGCUUGUUGCUGCAUCUUUACAGUUUCGAUCAGUAGUUCUCUCGCGGCUUGUUGAUCUCCCCGAAUCGUCUGAGUUUUGCCGUCUUUUCCGGGAAAUUUGACGCAUUGAUCAUAAUUCGAAGGGACGGCUUUCAUGGAAUGCAGCCAUGGUGUUCCGAGUAUGGCAUUAUAGGGUGCUUUGGCGCGGAUGACGGAGAACUUGACGGUGCGGGUUAUACCACCUGCGUAAACUGGAAGGCGAAUUGUCCCGAUCAUAUGCUCCGAGGCUCCGUUGAAGCCGGUGAGCGUGCGAGAAGAAGGCUUCAUAGCCCGUAAAUCAACUCCCAUUUUGUCGAGUGUGUCGCGAAAGAUGAGAUCGACUGAGCUGCCGGUAUCAAUAAGGACUUUGGCGACCAGACAUUCGCCAAUGUCAAGGUCGACGAGGAGAGGAUUGUUAUGUGGCAUGUGGACGCCCUUGGUGUCUAGUGCCGAAAAAGUGAUCUGGUGAUCAUUUUCGACUGGAGAAGGCCACUUCUGAGAGGUGGUUGCUUGACGUUUGUAAUCUUUGACGGCUCGAACCGAGUCACCGCAAGGUGGUGAUCCGCCCAUUAUGACACUAAUGUGCGGGGCUCGGGUAGCUCGCAUUAAUUCGAGUUGCUUCCUCAAAUCGUCAGUUGUGUUCUCGAAUAUAGGAGUUUCUGCGGGCUGUUUCUUUUUUGAUUCGAGACGUCGUCGCAGAUCGGACCCUUUCGAACGGUUGAGUUGGAUUCGCAGGUCGUCGGCCUUCGAAUUGAGCUGGUCGCGAAUGUCGCCAGUUUGACCGACUCUCCGAGUGUUGCAUUUGGAGAUGUUCGCACGGAGGUCGGCGGUUCAUGUGUUUUCGUUCGUGGCGCUUUUUCGCUUCAAUAGAAUGCGCAGGUCUUUAUCAGUUUUCGAGGGAGCGAGAGACUGCUUAUCCUUGCUGUCCAAUUUAUCGCGCAGAUUUGGUUUCACUAUCGGGACGUCGUCAUCAGGGGAGUCGCAAGGGCGAGAGAUUAUGACUUCCACUCAUCGCCGGCGACGUGGGUGUUCGUCUUCUGACGAAUCGUUGGCGGGGCCGACGUUGUUGACGGGAGUGCGCUCAGGGCUUGCUCUUUCCUCGCUCGGGGCCGUGUUCUUUUGAGACUUCUGUGCCUUCUUCUCCUUGUUCUUACUCCAUCUUUUAGUGUUUUUCGGUUUCGUAGGAGAAGUGGGCAUUUGGAUUGUCCCAUUAGUGAUCCCGUCGAAAAACUGCCCGAUGAGGACCUUGCAUUCCUUCGUGUCAUGGGAAUCCCUUUUGUGGUAGAGGCACCAUUUUUUUGGCUCCUCGGAGUUUGAACUCGCUGGUUCGGAUGAGGUUGACUGCUUCGGAGCGGAGUCUCGAUCCCAGUGGUUCCAGCCUUUCUCUCGCGUGAUGGCUGCUGAUUUUGGAGAUUCCUCAUCAUCGACCGAGCUAACGUAGCCUCGCUUCUGAGUGGUAUUUCCACCGGAGGAGUGCUGGCAGGGCUCGGGGCGGGUGUCGUUUGUUCGGGAGGAUCGCUGUUUCGCUGCUGCUUCUUUUGCGAACUUUGCUCUGGUGUCUUCUUCCAUGCGGAUAAAGUUGUGCGAGCGAGCGAUGGCGUCGGAGACAGAUUUUGUCGGAUAUCGGUAGAGAUCCUGGCGGAAUGUGGAGUCGACGUGCAAGGUGUUCAUCAAAGAUUCGACGGCGAUAUGGUCGAGAAUAUCAAUCUUCGAGACAAUAGCUUUGAAUUUCUCCAUGAAGUCGCAGAGACUUUGGUCGCUGGCGUGAGUGAGGUUCCAUAAAUCUGACACGGUCGCUUCCUGGUUGGUGAACAUGAUAUAGUUCUUAAGGAAAGCCGUCAAGAGGUCGUGGAAACAGUCGACGGAGUUCUCUCUGAGGCCGGUGAACCAAGUAAGGGCCGGUCCUUCUAGGGUUUCGACGAAGAGUUGGCAAAAGCCGGCGUCUUUGUCUUCGUCGGUCAGGUUUGCGCGUCGCAUCGCUAUGUUGAAAGACGUGACGUGAGUAGAAGGGUCAGAAAGACCUUUGAAGAUUCGAAGACGGAGUUUCUCCAUCUUCUGUAGCCGCACGCCGGUAACCUUUUGCGUGAAGGGUGUACGAAGAGAUUCCGCGAGUACAUGCUCGAUUUGGGGCGCGGACGUCGUCACCUGGUGGAUCUUCGAAUUGAUAUCGAGGACCGGCUGUUUCAAUGCGGCUAGUUCGCUUGCGGUGUGCGCGUUGGUGUCGUUACCGGCGCUUUGGUUAUCGUUAUCCCGCGUAGGUGCUAAGUCAUCGGUUCGUUCUGUGGCGAACAAGUGUCGACGAUACUGCGCCAUUGAAGCUUCGGCGUUUGCAGCGAGAGGAGCAAGGAUCUUUGCUAUCGCCGUGAUUUGGUCAACUGCCGCCUUCUGCGCCGCUUCUUGUAGGGCGAGGCGUGCCAGGAUAGUUUCCAUAGACGCAGGAUGGGGAAGUGGAGUUACUGGUGUAGGCGUAGGUGUCAUCUCUGGAGCCGGCGUCACCUCGAGAGCUUCGCGCUCCUCGCCUGACGAAGAACUGUCGUUGUUAACGACCAUAGUUCUGACGUUACUUUGCUAGUUGUCCCACGGUGGGCGCCAACUGUUUGAUCGGAAAACGGUAAUAAAUAAGAUAUGGGUUUAAACAAAGACGUCUUAUUAAUGGUCGGAGAAAAACGUUCAGUCGGUUACAAGGGAAACGGAGAGAGUGCGACAGAAAGGAAGCCGGUGGCUCGAUGAGCUACUGGAAAAGUACAACUAACGGCGAGAUGAAGCAAAGGUGAAAACCCUAAUCUAGCCGCCAAGUGUUAGUCAGUGAUUUCGGAUCCUUCUCUCGUUGUCUCCCCUUUCUCUUAUAUAGACGUCCUGAUGCCUCGUCCUUGACCUAAUUUAUGCCAUCUUGGUGGGCCUCCUCUGCUGGGCCGAGAAGCCCGUAGGCGUCCGAGCAGCCGCUGAGCCGAAUGUACUUCAGUCGAUGAUGAUUGACUAAAAGUACUCAAGAGUCAAGCAGAGAGACCUGGCUCUUGAGCCGACCGAUCGAGCCGUCGCUCUACCUAAUCUGGGCCAGACCUUUCUAUUCCUCGGGCCUUGUGGGAUGGUCAAAUCCAUCCUCUACAAAGAAGAAGACGGCGAAGAGCAAACUGAGAGCAGAAGCCUUUGAGACUUUUGACAUUGUUGCUUGGUGUUUCUUG
rnacentral:lncRNA from 1 species